GGUUGGAACUGGUAAAAGAUUACGAUUGUGAGAUACUGUACCAUCCUGGAAAGGCUAAUGUAGUGGCGGAUGCACUUAGCAGACGCAACUAUGCAAGCUUAUCAAUGUUAAGGGCAUUAAAAGUGCCGUUGCAACAGGAAAUCGAGAGAUCUGGAAUAGAGUUAGUAACAGGAAAGCUAGCUAACCUCACAAUUGAAUCAAAUUUAUUAGAGAAUAUCAAAGAAGAACAAGCCCAAGAUGAGUUUUUAAUCAAGAAGCGGGUCGAACUACAAAAUGGGAAACCCGGGGACUUCUCAGUUAAUGAAGAGGGUAUUCUACUAUACAAGACAAGGGUGUGUGUACCUAAGGAAGCGGAGUUGCAAUCAAAAAUCUUACAAGAGGCGCACACUACACCCUAUUCUUUACACCCAGGAUCAACCAAAAUGUACAAUGAUCUGAAAGGUAGGUAUUGGUGGCGGGAAUGAAAAAUGAUAUAGCAGAAUUUGUAGCAAAAUGUCUUACCGCCAGCAAGUUAAGGCCGAACACCGAGAGACUGCAGGGGCUGUUGCAAUCUCUUGAUAUUCCUGAGUGGAAAUGGGAAGAUAUUGCUAUGGAUUUUGUGACAGGGUUACCGAAGAACAGCAAACAACAGGAUUCCAUCUGGGUGAUUAUCGACAGACUCACUAAAUCAGCACAUUUUCUGCCUGUGCGCACUAAUUACAACGCAGAGCAAUAUGCUGAACUGUAUGUAAAAGAAAUUGUAAGGCUACACGGAGUCCCAAAGACCAUUGUAUCUGAUAGAGGUUCAGUUUUUACUUCUAAGUUUUGGGAAAGUGUGCAAAGUGCUUUGGGCACAAAGCGAAGUUGAGUACAGCAUUCCACCCUCAAACUGAUGGACAAUCAGAACGAACUAUUCAAAUACUAGAAGACAUGCUACGAGCUUGUGCGUUGGAUUUCCCAAGUAACUGGAGCAACUAUUUGCCACUAAUGGAGUUCUCGUACAACAAUAGCUAUCAAUCUACAAUAGGGAUGGCACCCUAUGAAAUGUUGUAUGGGAGGAAGUGUCGAUCACCACUACACUGGGAUGAGGUUGGCGAAAAGCGAUACUUAGGCCCAGACCUAGUAAGAGAGGCCACUGAAGCGGUAGAAAAGAUUCGAAAUAGAAUGGUAACUGCACAAAGCCGCCAGAAAAGUUAUGCCGACGCAAAGAGACGUAAUGUGGAAUUUGCAGUGGGUGAUAAAGUGUUCCUUCGAGUGUCACCUAUGAAAGGGGUUAUGCGUUUUGGAAAGCGAGGAAAGCUAAGUCCAAGAUUUAUAGGUCCUUUUGAGAUAUUGGACAGAGUGGGACAGGUAGCUUAUCGACUGGCAUUGCCACCAGUAUUAGCUGAGACGCAUAAUGUGUUCCAUAUUUCUAUGCUAUGAAAAUACGUGUCGGAUCCAUCACACGUGCUGAACUAUGAAAGAAUGGAGCUAAAGCAGGACUUGAGUUAUGAAGUGCGACCAGUUCGCAUUAUAGAGAGAGGAACGAAGGAGUUAAGGUCCAAAAGUAUUCCUCUAGUAAAAGUUCUGUGGAGCAACCGUUCAGAAAGGGAGGCAACGUGGGAAAUGGAGGGAGACAUGAAAGAACAGUACCCCGAACUUUUUGGUAAGUCUAAUUUCGAGGACGAAAUUUCCUUUAAGGAGGGUAGAAUGUAAUAUCCAGUUUAUUUUUAUUAUUAUUAUUAUUAUCAUUAUUAUUAUUAUUAUUAUUAUUAUUAUUGUUGUUGUUGUUGUUGUUGUUGUUGUUGUUGUUGUUGUUGUUGUUGUUGUUGUUGUGCGUGUGUGAUUAGAAAAAAAUGAUAUAUAUAUAUAUUAAAUAGUGAGAUAAAUAAAUAGUGAAGCAUUAGAUUAGUUAGUUAGUUUAAAAUUUAAAAUUUAAAUUUAAAUCAGCAUAAUUUUAUCUGAUUAGUUAGAUAUUUAUUUUUAAAUUUAAACCUAUUAUACGAUAUGUUAUAUACGUAUAUACUCUAUAACCCUAGCAGCCAGAUAGUAUCGUAUUCCCUUAUUCUCACAAUCUCUCAAUUUCUUUUUUUAUUCUCUCUAUUGAACCAAAUCAAUUGUUUUAAUCUUAAGAGCUUCGGGGUUAGCAAUCAACCGAUCAUCGUUCCGUGUCUUCGAAAUCUUCAGGGCCUAGAAGGUAUCGUAAGAGUUAAUUACAGCGGAGUUGAGGUAAGGAAAAAUAAUGAUACUUUAUACUUGCUUUUUAUAUGGUUUGAGUAUCUAGUAUGACUGCUUGAAUAAAUUGUAUUGAAACUGUGGAAUGUGAUAGUUUCGGUGAAAUAGUGUUUUAUCGAUGAAUUGUAUAUGGUUGUUUAAUCAUGUUCCAGGUACUUGGAAGUGGUUGGAAACCACACAUGUAUGGUGAUGUGGUAAGUGAGGCAGUGUACGUACGGGUGCACUGGUUAUUGGUACUGCGUUCUGGUUAAGAACGUAAGACACUCCAGAUUUGUAUGGAAGCUGGAGUGUGAUUGUGAGUGUGAGUGUGUGGUAUUUCAGUAUUUGUGUGGCUGCCUCUAUUUAUACUUAUGAUUAGGUUGUUGUAUGUUUGAUGUAUAUGUUUGUGCUAUGAUGUGUGAAUGCUGGUACAUAGUAUUGUGUUUUUCCUUACUGGGCUUUGCAGCUCACCCCUUAUUUACCCCCUAUG